GCAUAUCAAUAAGCGGAGGAAAAGAAACCAACAGGGAUUGCCCUAGUAACGGCGAGUGAAGCGGCAACAGCUCAAAUUUGAAAUCUGGCUCUUUCAGGGUCCGAGUUGUAAUUUGCAGAGGGCGCUUUGGCUUUGGCAGCGGUCCAAGUUCCUUGGAACAGGACGUCACAGAGGGUGAGAAUCCCGUACGUGGUCGCUAGCUAUUGCCGUGUAAAGCCCCUUCGACGAGUCGAGUUGUUUGGGAAUGCAGCUCUAAAUGGGAGGUAAAUUUCUUCUAAAGCUAAAUAUUGGCCAGAGACCGAUAGCGCACAAGUAGAGUGAUCGAAAGAUGAAAAGCACUUUGGAAAGAGAGUCAAACAGCACGUGAAAUUGUUGAAAGGGAAGCGCUUGCAGCCAGACUUGCUUGCAGUUGCUCAUCCGGGCUUUUGCCCGGUGCACUCUUCUGUAGGCAGGCCAGCAUCAGUUUGGGCGGUGGGAUAAAGGUCUCUGUCACGUACCUCUCUUCGGGGAGGCCUUAUAGGGGAGACGACAUACCACCAGCCUGGACUGAGGUCCGCGCAUCUGCUAGGAUGCUGGCGUAAUGGCUGUAAGCGGCCCGUCUUGAAACACGGACCAAGGAGUCUAACAUCUAUGCGAGUGUUUGGGUGUCAAGCCCGAGCGCGUAAUGAAAGUGAACGGAGGUGGGAACCCGCAAGGGCGCACCAUCGACCGAUCCUGAAGUUUACGGAAGGAUUUGAGUAAGAGCAUGGCUGUUGGGACCCGAAAGAUGGUGAACUAUGCUUGAAUAGGGUGAAGCCAGAGGAAACUCUGGUGGAGGCUCGCAGCGGUUCUGACGUGCAAAUCGAUCGUCAAAUUUGGGCAUAGGGGCGAAAGACUAAUCGAACUAUCUAGUAGCUGGUUCCUGCCGA
rnacentral:rRNA from 1 species